UUCCUAUCUCCUCCUUCAGAAAUUGUGUAUGCUGUAGAUCGACUUCUGAAGCAGUUACCACAAUUUGUUUUUGUCCCUUCUCCAAAGAAGUGUUUGGUUUAAUUGAUAUAAUCUUAUUUUUGGCAGUUAUCGGCAAUGGUGUUGCAAGUCGAUUAGCAGCUAGAAUUGCACCCUUAGUUGUCGCUAACUUCCUUUGAGUUGUGAAAUGAUCCUCACUGUCCUCUCCUGAAGUAUCGUCCUCAAAAUCUUGGUCGUCGUCUGAAGAUGAGAAAGCAGCAAAUCCUUCUCCUAACGCCUCGUCGCCGUCAUAAUCUCGUUGGUCUUUCCACAAUUUUGAACUAACAACCAAGUCUCUCCUGGUAA
rnacentral:lncRNA from 1 species